AUUGAACGCUGGCGGCAGGCCUAACACAUGCAAGUCGAACGAGUGGCGGACGGGUGAGUAAUGUCUGGGAAACUGCCUGAUGGAGGGGGAUAACUACUGGAAACGGUAGCUAAUACCGCAUAACAUCCGAUGUGCCCAGAUGGGAUUAGCUAGUUGGUGGGUUAACGGCUCACCAAGGAGACGAUCCCUAGCGGCUCGGAGAGGAGGACCCGCCUCACUGGAACUUGUACACGUUCCAGGCUCCUACGGGAGGCAGCAGUGGGGAAUAUUGCACAAGGGGCGCAAGCCUGAUGCAGCCAUGCCGCGUGUAUGUAGAAGACCUGCGUGUUGUAAAGUACUUUCAGCGGGGCGGCGUUACCCGCAGAAGAGGCACCGGCUAGCUCCGUGCCAGCAGCCGCGGUAAUAC
rnacentral:rRNA from 1 species